rnacentral:lncRNA from 1 species
AAGAAAAAGUGUAUAUGUUUAUACUUAUAAUUUAACUGUGGUUUGGCUCUUGUAGGCUGAGCAGAUCUACUUUAGUUUACAGGGGCUUCUGGGAAUAGCUCUAGGCUCUGGGUUGGCUUCAGGUCUGCUUCAGUGGUGUUUGUUUUGGGACAUGGACUGAAGGACAGCUACUACUAAAGACACAUCUCUUCUGAUGGCGGAUAAACUUGAAUAAGAGCUGGGUCACACUGUACGUGCACAUUUAAGCCCUGUGACUAGCCAUCUACUGAAUCCCACUGGCCAAAGCAAGUUCCAUAGGCAAGUCUCACACAAGUGGGAUGGAGAUGUAAACUCCACUCAAAGUGGGAAGAGUUGGGUAGUGAAUAUUUAAUGAACAAUAAUCCAUAUUAUUACAUUCUCUCCUCCCAAAGCUGAUUUCGUCUCUUGGGAUAUAAACCAGAAUUUCUAAUUCCUAAAAUAAUUGCUGAAAAGAGAAAUGAGUAUUAUCAAUAAUGCUUAAACUAAUCACCCUAGGGUUGUUGGGAGUCAUGACCCCUGGAGGAAUCUAGUGGUAAUGUGCUCGGCACAAGCAGUUCAUCAGUGCAAUUCAUCCAUCAUCACAGAGACUCACAUUGUCAUAGGGAUGUUUAUUAUGAA